AACGAACGCUGGCGGCAGGCCUAACACAUGCAAGUCGAGCGGACCCUUCGGGGUUAGCGGCGGACGGGUGAGUAACGCGUGGGAAUAUGCCCUUCUCUACGGAAUAGUCCUGGGAAACUGGGGGUAAUACCGUAUACGCCCUUUGGGGGAAAGAUUUAUCGGGGAAGGAUUAGCCCGCGUUGGAUUAGGUAGUUGGUGGGGUAAUGGCCUACCAAGCCGACGAUCCAUAGCUGGUUUGAGAGGAUGAUCAGCCACACUGGGACUGAGACACGGCCCAGACUCCUACGGGAGGCAGCAGUGGGGAAUCUCAGACAAUGGGGGCAACCCUGAUCUAGCCAUGCCGCGUGAGUGAUGAAGGCCUUAGGGUUGUAAAGCUCUUUCAGCUGGGAAGAUAAUGACGGUACCAGCAGAAGAAGCCCCGGCUAACUCCGUG
rnacentral:rRNA from 1 species